rnacentral:rRNA from 1 species
UACGGGGGGAGCAAACGUUGUUCGGAAUUACUGGGCGUAAAGGGCGUGUAGGCGGCCAUGCAAGUCGGGGGUGAAAUCCACUGGCUUAACCAGUGACGUGCCUUCGAAACUGCAUGGCUUGAGUAUGGCAGAGGGAAGCGGAAUUCCAGGUGUAGCGGUGAAAUGCGUAGAUAUCUGGAAGAACACCGGUGGCGAAGGCGGCUUCCUGGGCCAAUACUGACGCUGAUGCGCGAAAGCCAGGGGAGCAAAC